GCCAGUGUGGCUCAGUGUUUGGGCAUCGACCUAUGAACCAGGAGGUCACAGGUUCGAUUCCUGAUCAAGGGCA
rnacentral:tRNA from 1 species